rnacentral:pre_miRNA from 1 species
ACAACAUUAAGAUCGUGGGUCUACAAAGAAAUAUCAGCCGCUUGAUGGAAGAUCUUCCCUUUGUCGU